rnacentral:misc_RNA from 1 species
UUUUUCAAUUCUUCAUCGGUUUCAUAAUUGUCAGCAUCAAGUCUCCAACUAAGCACUCCAAGCUCUGCAAGUUGGUCCAAUGAUACAAAUUCCUUAGGAUCCUUGUGAUGAGGCAGUCUUUGGUCCUCAUCACUAUCAUCCAUGUACCAUGCCUGAAUGACUUCUUCUCUAGUAUCCUGGUUCGGAGCAACCAUGUUUUCUUUGCUCUCUCUCUCUCUCUCUCUUUCUCUGUG